rnacentral:rRNA from 1 species
UACGAAGGGGGCUAGCGUUGUUCGGAAUUACUGGGCGUAAAGCGCACGUAGGCGGAUUGUUAAGUCAGAGGUGAAAUCCCGGAGCUCAACUUCGGAACUGCCUUUGAUACUGGCAAUCUAGAGUCCGGAAGAGGUUAGUGGAAUUCCCAGUGUAGAGGUGAAAUUCGUAGAUAUUGGGAAGAACACCAGUGGCGAAGGCGGCGACCUGGACAGAUAUUGACGCUGAGGUGCGAAAGCGUGGGGAGCAAACAGG